rnacentral:rRNA from 1 species
GACGUAGGGCGCGAGCGUUGUCCGGAAUUAUUGGGCGUAAAGAGCUCGUAGGUGGUUUGUCGCGUUGUUCGUGAAAACCUGAGGCUUAACCUUGGGCGUGCGGGCGAUACGGGCAGACUGGAGUACUGCAGGGGAGACUGGAAUUCCUGGUGUAGCGGUGGAAUGCGCAGAUAUCAGGAGGAACACCGGUGGCGAAGGCGGGUCUCUGGGCAGUAACUGACGCUGAGGAGCGAAAGCGUGGGGAGCGAACAGG